GAACCUAUAGGACCUUCAGUGUGUGAACCUAUAGGUCUUCAGUGUGUGACAGGUUAGUACAGUGGUGAACCAAUAGGACCUUCAGUGUGUGAACCUAUAGGACCUUCAGUGUGUGAACCUAUAGGUCUUCAGUGUGUGACAGGUUAGUACAGUGGUGAACCUAUAGGUCUUCAGUGUGUGACAGGUUAGUACAGUGGUGAACCAAUAGGACCUUCAAUGUGUGAACCAAUAGGACCUUCAGUGUGUGAACCUAUAGGACCUUCAGUGUGUGAACCUAUAGGACCUUCAGUGUGUGAACCUAUAGGACCUUCAGUGUGUGAACCUAUAGGCCUUCAGUGUGUGACAGGUUAGUACAGUGGUGAACCUAUAGGUCUUCAGUGUGUGACAGGUUAGUACAGUGGUGAACCUAUAGGCCUUCAGUGUGUGACAGGUUAGUACAGUGGUGAACCUAUAGGUCUUCAGUGUGUGACAGGUUAGUACAGUGGUGAACCUAUAGGCCUUCAGUGUGUGACAGGUUAGUACAGUGGUGAACCUAUAGGUCUUCAGUGUGUGACAGGUUAGUACAGUGGUGAACCUAUAGGACCUUCAGUGUGUGAACCUAUAGGACCUUCAGUGUGUG